GGAGAACUACCCCUGACGCUGAAGUUGGAGCAAUCAAACACUGAGCCAGGACAUGAUGACAUCGAAGAAUCUCAGCACAAUGCGGAAGAAUAUGUAUCGGGACUCAUCGCCACCGGAGAGACAGAUCCAGGACCUUCUAAAAGACAGCGGCUCAUAUAAUUUUAUAUUAUACUAUUAUACAACAUUUUGUAUUUUAAUUUUGGAAUACUAAUAAUCACGAUAUUUUAAGU